GAACGCACCGGGCACCGAGCACUGGGCACCGAGCACUGGGCACCGAGCACGGGGCACCGAGCCCCGGGCACCCGUAACCGCCGUGACCGACACGCUCGUCCGGGCAGACAGGCUGACGAGCGGAGGGCUGUGACGCUAGUCACUCCUCCAAGGGGUGACGGAGACCCCAAGAACAGGCUGACACCGGCGAAAGCUUACAUGCUGGGGGCAAGCAUGCAGGAGAGCGGGUGCCUGGGGAGGGAGACCCGCGCCUGACACUAAAAUUCAGAGCCGCCCUGAGGCGGCAGCUCGGUGAGCCGGGCGGCCGCACGCCCGCCCGGCGCACGCGAUCGAGGACCACGGGGACGGCGCGGCGCAUGCGCGCGCCCGCCAGGCUCCGGCGCGUGCACGGUCGUCCGGCGUCCCUGGCCCUCACAAAACGGGCCCUCGAGCCGGGCGUCACCGACUAACGGUCAGCGGUUGUUCCAGCGCCCUCCGGCCUCGUCCCGCACUUUUCUGAAAAGCCUCCCCCGGAACCCCGCAGGGCGGCCGGUGACAGGAGUGACAGCCCCAGGCCGGCCUCACCACGUCUGUGGCCCACUGCUGACCCCACAGCCUGAGUCCUGACAGCUCAGUGGGCCCACGUCUGCCUCUGCUGAGACGCUGACCAUGUGGUCCUGCUGGAGGUGUGGCAGAGAGGGAGGACCUCUGACCCACUGCCGAGCACCCCUUGGACGUGUGGACGGGCUGAAGGGCCGAGACCUGGGCCAGGCCUCCCAGAGGGACUGCUCCAUGCCACAGCUCCCAGAAGGAAAACACAACAGCUUGAAAAGGCCCAAGAUCCACAUGACACAGUCAAGAAACAGCACAGACAAGCGACCCCUGAGCCUCGUGGGUGCCCAACGCCGUGUGGUUCCCAGCACCUUGUCAUCGUGUCGUGGACCUCGGGGCCACAUAAGCACACACCCAGCAGGAGCUGCUGUUCCUGUGAGACUUCCUGAAAAUGGCACCAGGUGGCGAGCGUGUCGGGAGGUCACCCACAGAGUCUGCAUCUCUGCCCCGCAUAUGACGCAGGGCCUUGUCCCUUUGGGAAAGCCGUGAAUCAUUCCUGUGACCUUGCUAAUUCUCUGAAGGCGCUUUUCCAUGCAACUUUUCAGACGCACUCCAACUCAGUACCGAGCCCGAGCUCGGGCUGCAGCCCGCACAGGCUCAGUCCAGUGUCAGGAGGAGGCGGAGCAGCGAGAGCCGAGACCAGCUCAGGGGAGCAGUUUCACCAUCAGAUUUGGAAGACGGGGCCAUCACUAAGACCCCUCUCACCUCCCCAGAAACAGGGAAGAGGAGAACGAGGAGUGCAAGGGGAGGGGAAGGGCCUCAUUCCUGCAGCUCGUCCAGGUGGGGCCAGAGGGUCCCCUCCUCUCCAGGCCGCCUGCAGCCCUCUUUCAGCUCACCCCAUGCUCUGCCCAGGAGGCUUUGGAAGGUCAGGGUGCUGCCAGUGUUACAGGAAUUUCGAGAGAUGGCUUUGUCUUACAGUGAUGAGAAGUGAUGACGCUGACAGGGUGGGUGAGCGGAAGGAAAAGCAGGCUUUGCUACUCCAGGGGUCUGCUUUGUUUCUCCUAUGUCUCCCAGGCAGUGUUCAUGCUUGCUAACCAAGAAGAAAUGUUACCUAACUCAUCACUUGAGAAAUGUCACAGAAAUGUUACCGACCUGAGCAGUUAAGGAAGGUUAUGGCUUGCUGAGCACUGGAGACAUGCUGCUUCCUGGUCUGGUCUGGUCUGGUCUGGUGUCAGAGCCCCGUUCCUCCUGUGGACCCGUUCUGUUCCCAUCUCUGCCUGUUGUUUUUCUUACUGCCUUCUCACAUUACCUCCUCCCAGACAGGAAUCCCUGACUGCCUGUCAGCACUUGUAACUACUCACAUUCCCCCAUCAGGGAGGGAGCCCUGAGUGCUGCGAGCUGAUCUCGGCCACAGCUGCUCAGCUCUGUGAUCAGGGGCGUAGAGCUGGGUCGGCAGCCGCCCAUCCCUCUGAGGCUGGGUCUGCAGGUGCCCGGUAGAAUGAGGGUUCCAUUUGGGGCUCCAGUCGCAGCACCGUCUGCAGCUUGGCAGCCCCUAAAUGAGCAGAGACAAAUCUGACAAGAGGGUUAAAUAUACAGGGUCUUCAGGCCAGGAUUUCUAGAAGUGACACAUAUCAGAGGCAUGAGGGAGGCGGCUAAGCCGGAGUAAGAGUGUCACCAAGGCAAUCACAGUGGAAAGGACGUGCAGUAUUGGGACAGGGACUCGGGGACCUGGGUGCACAUGAAGCAGGAUGUAAGGGCUGUAAACAGAACCAGGAGAAGCAAGGUGGGUGGCAUUCUGGCUGUCUCGCGACGUGCAAGGAUGAUUGGUAGAGCCUUUUUGUUAGCCAGUUUUUAAUGACCCCUUUAAGUUUGUUUUUGGGCCAUUAUAAAGGCAUUUCGAGUGCUUUAAGAAACUGUGUAAGCACAGUUAUCAUUCAGCUGUGCAUAAGAAUCCUUGCUCUACAACCGCGGCUUUUGUUGUUGACAGAAGUCAAUUCACCUUGAUUUGUAUUCUCUCCUUGUGCUCGAAAUCCUCUUUUGAGCGCAUGAGUGUAUCGCUGAUCAGUCAUCUUGUAGCUGGCUUUUCCUUGGCCCUCAUUGGCAGGUCAGAUUAGACCUGGUUGCUGAUCCAGUCUCACUUUGGAGGGAGAAGAAGUAUGUGAUGACCAGGAGUCAAUGUCAGUAUCCCAUCUAGACACUUGUAAGUGACAAAGAGGUCUCAGAAGAAGUGGGCUCCAUUGUUGAACUGAACUUGACCUUUCGUGUCGGUGUGGCACUUGGGCCAGCUUCUGCUUUUCCAGGCAGAUUAGCAGGAGCUGGAUCAGAAGUGGAGCACCCAGGACUCAGCCCAGAGCCCACAUGAGAUGCCAGCUCCACGGACGGCAGCCCAGUCUGGGCCACAGUGCCGGUCUGUGGAUGGACUAGGUGUGUAAGUAUGGUGACAGCAGUUAGUGUACCAUAGCGGGGCCAGUGUGUUCUCUGAGAACAGAUUUUCACUGAACUCAUGUGAACACAGUCACAUUGCCCUGAGAAUCUAAAAUGCCUCAGAAAACUUUUGAAUUUAGAGGAAUUAAGCAGAAGGAAAGGGAAGCAUUUUUAUCUGUUUACAAAGCUGUCCCAAAGCACUGAGUACAAUAGAAGUCACAGAAAAAAAAAAAAAAAGAUCCUUUGGAAUCUAGAAGAGGAAACAUUUUUAAAUACAGAACCAACAGUGUUUUAAACAAAAGACAUAAAAAUGCAUGCUUUUUAUUUAUCUGGUUUAUGCAACUAAUUUUUUAUUAAUUUCCAUAAGCAGAUUUUUUUUUCAAUUUUUAGAGUUUCAGAACUUCUUGUCUAGUCCAUUAUUUCCAAAGCUGUCAGAAAACCUGUAUUUAAGAAUAUUUCUUAGAAUGCAGAUUUUUUUAGAGAAAAGAAAACUGGAUGACAAAGAGAAUUAACUAGUCAUGGUUAAAAUUAAUUGACAAGAGGAGGCAGUUUAUGUUUAGUUCACACAGCAUUGUGGGAAGCACCUGAAGGAUUUUAUAAACACUGUGUGUGUCUGGGGCCUUUUUUUUUUUAAAAUCAAGAUAGCCAUCAUGACAUCGAGCCCUGACAGCUAGGCCUCUGGGCAGCAGUGGGAGGGGGAUGGGAGGCACACGUUCACAGGCACUGCUCCUGUGGUCCCAUCCAUCAGGGAGGUGUUGGAGAAUGUGAUAGCUUUGAAGGGAGGGGGCGGCCUGAGGUAGGGGCUACCCCCACAGCCUCCCUGUACCCCCAAGCCCUGUGUGGCCCUUCUGUCCUCUGCGAGUCGGGGAGUCUUCUUUACGGCCCAGCUGAGAGCCCGUGCCUGCCAGGCAGUUUUGAGCUUCAGGAUCCUGACCAGAACCUGGAGGAACCACAUCAGUUAGUUCGCUUGUUUCCACUCUGGGGUCGACCUUCAUGUGGGAUUUCUCCCAGCACGGCCUGGGGCAGAAGUGGCUGAAAGCCCAGGCCUGCAGCGGUUUGCGUAUGUAUUCCUGUUCCUGGGAAGAAUCCCGAGGCUUCUCUGGAGUCCCUUGACUUGUUUCCUAUUCUUUCUGUCCAGUGCUGAGCCGCUGGUGGCCCAUUACGUCUGCCUCUGUGGGCUCUCCCUGGGGUCAUAGGUCAUUCACCUCUCAUAACAAGUGCUCCAGCUCUAGGCUCAUAUAAGAUGGGACCUGGUAAUAUUCAGACAGGAUGUUGUCCUCCAGCUGCAUCCAGUUCUUCCCAACAAAAGGCAGGGACCUGUCACCAUGGCAUACAGGACCACACCCAGGCUCCAGACAUCGGCCUUAUAACCACUGAGUUCCUCAUCUGGUAAUCUUCGAGGGCAGGGUGCUCUGGCACCCCACAAAAUGUGUCCAGAUGUUAUCGCUUAAGUCAGUCUGCAGCUAAAUUCAGUUAAUAUUCAGCCGGGCAUCCCAAAGGAGGUUUUGUAAUUUUAAGUUUCAGUGCCCUUCUUAUGGCAGUAGAACACUGCUGAUAAUGUCUGGUUAAACAUCUGACAUGCCUCUUCCUCACACAAGUGGCCACACUCUGCCACGUCCUGGUCAAGGUCCCCCCUGCUCGCAUAGGCCGUGAAAAUGUAUGCUCUGUCUGCUGUGUGCGUAUAUAUAACAGCCUGAAAUGUUUGGGAAAUGCAUCUCUUGCUAAUGUCUGCUUCCACCCACACUUGCAGGAAGCUGGAGGAGGCCUGGUUGGCUCUGGCGUUUGUCAUGGCCGCCUGGGUCUCGCUUUGCAGAUGCUAGGUCAGCUUCCCUUGGCCAAGUUACUCUGGAGAGUGGUUCUGAGGACCUGGUAUCCAUUGAGGACCUCCUCGUCAGUGUGGGAGGCCGCACGGGGGCACCCACCUCCGAGCCUCUCUGAUGCUGGUAGCACCCAUGACAACUCUGACAACUGGGAAAUGGAAAAGAAACAACACUGUCAGUGCCAGUGUUACAGGUAACACUACAUAUGAAUGACACUAAUCGCUAAUUCUAUCUCAUUAAAUAUGAGAAGGCACAAAAAAUGAGGAAAAUCAAUCAAGGAAACACCAACUAACAUUACCUAAACAAGUUUAAUCAGUAAGUCUAAUAGUCUUAUCUAAAGGAUUAAAAAUGUGGGGGAAAUGGGAGAAACACAUUAGAAAAUGAAAACAAAAUAAAUACAAAAAGUGACAAAUAAGUAAAAAAUGGAGAGAGAAGAAAGUUAACAAAAUAGAGAAAAAAUAAAAUAUUAAAAAGAACAAACUGAGCAGACCGAAUAGGGAAAACAGGUAGCUUUGUCCAAGUCCUAUAGGUCACCAUCAAAAAGCUUCCUGUACAAAACAAAAAAACCCCAGUGAGCCAGGGACUCAUACAGGCAGUUGAAAUUGUUAGGUUUGGAACAGCUCGGGGUUCUGGCCUCUUGUACUCCCAAAAAAGAGAGAAGGAAAAAGGAGAUGGAGCCGAGCUCAACAGAGACAGGGGGCUUUAUUGCAGCAAAGAGGGGCGACAGUCCGUUCUUGCGAGGAUACUGUGCAGGGCGUGUGUAGGGCCAGGUUUUAUCUGAUUGAGGAGGGAAUCUGCCGCUGGGGGCAGGCUGAGGGGGUUUUGCCUGCAGCUGGUGGGAAGCAGGGAGUAGGGGGCUCUUAGAGGCCGCUGACAGCUUUCCUCUUGGCUGUUUCACAAGCUGCCCUGUGCAGCUUAUCUGUUUUUCCAGCUGCUUUGCAAGGAGUCUGGGGGAGUUGAGCCUGGUUCCUGCAACCAAGGGUCUCAACAAAAAGGAGGAGGGGAAGGGGCAGCAUGCCCUUUAGCAAUGACAUUGAUGUGAGAGGAAGAAAUGGACCAGUCACAGCUGGCGAUACUCCACGCUGGUUUUCCUGAAACCCUUUCCACUUAAAUAGAAAGGACCCCGAAAGCUUUUUGCUUAGGUCGAUGAUAGACUUUGAUCUGGUUGUGGCUAGCCCUGAGAGCCUCAGAUCCAACAAAGCCACUGCUACAAAGAGGGAGGUGGACCAGGUUCGAGUCCUGGCUGCUCCACUUCAAUGCUGCCCUCUGCUAUGGCCUGGGAAAGCAGUGAAGGAUGGCCCGAGUCUCCACGUGGGAGACCCAGAGGAAGCUCCUGGCUCCUGGCUUUGGAUAAGUGCAGCUCUGGCCAUUACAGCCAUCUGGGAAGUGAACCAGUGGGUGGAAGCUCUUUCUCUUUCUACCUCUAUCUCUAACUGUCUUUAAAAUAAAUAAAUUAGAAAAAAAAAGAAAUGAAGAAACAGAUAUGGGUAAGCAGCUGCAAAUGCUACUAACCCCUGCAUGUUGCGGAGAAAAGCAACAGACUUGGUUUUGGCCUGGUCUUCAUGUGGUCUCUUGCAGGGGGUGGUGCUGGGCAAGUGUGACUGACUAGGAGUUUCAUCUCCAGCGGGAGCAGUGUGCAUUUCUGGAGUGUAUGCUUUGGACGAUCUGGGGAACAAAGACAACUUUCAGGCAGUUUUAACUCCGUAUAUAAGCAAUAUGCAUCCGUGCGGUUACUUCACGUAACUUGUUGAAGCAAACUGUUGUCACCUAUCAUAUCUACUGUGACCCUGAGGACGCUGAAUUUAAGUGUCUCCCUUGGACCCGGUGUUGUGGCUCAGCGGGUUAAGCUGCUGUCUGUGAUGCCUGCAUCUCAUGUGGGCGGUGGUUUGAGUCCCGGCUGCUCCACUUCCCACCCAACUCCCUGCUGAUGUGCCUGGGAAGGCAGCAAAGGAUGGCCCAAGCACUUGAGCUCCUGCCACCCAUCUGGGAGACCUGGAUGAAGCUGCUGGCUUCUGGCUUCUGCCUGGCCCAGCUGCUGCUGUUGUAGCCAUUUAGACAGAGAACCAAUGGAUGGACGAUCUCUCUUCCUGUCUCUCCCUCUCUCAGUAAAUCUAUGUUUCCAAAUAAAAUUAAAAAAAAAAAAAAGUCUCCUUCUGUCCCUCUACCACCCAACCCCCACAUUUUCUCUAUCUCGUUGGUGUUCCUGGGAAGUUUCAUGAUCUUUAGUCCUUAGAGAUCUCUGAGACUUUCAUUGAAAUCCGUGUAGGUAAUGAAAGAAGUUUCUCAGCUAUAGAGAAGUCCGGUUCCUACUGCGUGCCUGGUCUGUGUCAGCCGGUGCUCCAGGUUCCCUGAGGGUACGGUGUGAACACCGCAGAGGAGGCGUCUGCCUCCAGAAAGCUUACUUACUAGCCGUACCAAGGAGACAGCCAAUGUGUGGAGAGAGCCCAGGAGACAGGAGGACUCCUGCCUGGUGUGCAGGGAGCUCAGUUUCUGGAUUUAAUCUAUCACAAAUGCAAAUCAUCUAAACUUGACCUUUGCAUAUGGUUAGGGAAUUCAACAAGUAUUCAUUGAGUACCAUCUCUGCUGGAGACAGCAGAACACUGGGAUAAAAUGAGAAUCAAAAUAGGCCCAUACAGCUGGGUAAAGUGGCACAGGGAUGCACUGGGUCCCUCACAGUCACCCUUGGGUGGGAAAUACCGGUAUCUGUCUCACUAAUAAUGGACCCACGAAAGGGGUGUGUGUGUGUGUGUGUUCAGCGGCCCAGGACUAGAAUUACCCCUAAAGAAGAGACCAUGGAGUGAAAGCAAGAGUCGGGGUUGGCACUGAGUUUUGAAUAAACAGUAGGAUUUGGAUGGCCAACUUAAGGGAGGGUAGGUGGAGGGGUUGGGGGCGAGAAUAUUCUAGAAAGCAUUUUCUUGGAAAAAGACCUUGUGUCGGGAUUUCUGGGGCCAAUGGGGAAUUAGCAGCGUUUGAACAGAAGGUGUGAGCUGUAGCUGUUGAGGUCAGUUUCGGGGGCCUCGCCUCAGAACUUGUCACUUAGUCUACUGCAACGGGGGGGUCACUCAGUGCAUGUGAGGACCGCUGGAACACAAGUCCGAGGCCGGAUGGCGCCUUCCACUCCUACGCGCCGCCCCCACAGCUUGGCUGAGGGAGCGGUGCCCCCGCCAGUUCCACCGGACUGCAGGCCCCAUAGAGACGCUCCUCCCGCUGCCUAGAGAGGCCGCGAGGGCCGCGCGAGGCCGCCGUGACGCGCUUCCGGCGCCGCGGGGCGGGCCCUGGGCCGUGCGCGCCUGCGCGUCUCCGGGACCACAGACUCCGCCCUGCGGGGAGCUCCCGCGUCUCACGUGCCUCCGACUCCUGCCUUUCCUCUAAAGAGCCCCAGGAGACAAAGCAGUGUCGCUUGUGAUCCUAACAGCUUAUUUCUGGUUGGAGUGUCCUGAUGACAACAAUUUGGUACCUAUUCAGUUUUUCUAUAGUGGAGACUAUUAAUCAGCUGGACAUUGAGCAUAAAUUUUUUCAUUACAGAUUAAAGUGACUUUGUUUUCUACAUCAUUCCCCUCCUAAGCUUGAUUAGACAUUUCAGAUUCCGAAGCACACGUUCAGCUGCAAAGGGCAGGGCCCAGUCCUGGACCUGGUGCUACUCAGGUCACUGCCAAUGGAUGCUGCCCUGAAGAACACCUUCCUCUCACUCUUCUGAAACAAAGCAGUGACAGCUCCAUUUCUAUGAGCAAACAGGACUCUAGUUUUCAAAACUACGUAUGUCCCUAUAGAUUGGAUCUUGGGAGUCGGGGCUGGAGGGAGCUAUAGGUGUUGAAAGUUUUGGAGAGAAACAGGUGCACAGAGCUCCCCCAUCAAGGCCAAUGAGUAAGGGAGAACUUGUGAGAUGGGCCUAUGGGAGAUGAAAGUGAAUCACCUUUGGGGUCUUAGGAUGGAAACCCUUUAGUUACCACUAGUCUGCCGAAAUACUGCUAACACGCAACCAAAGAAAAUAGAAUUACAAUUCAGUUACUUUUAGAGGAGCAGAGGAACACUAAACUUCCUCUGAAACUUAACUUACUCAAAUCCAGGACACUUACUUCUUUUACAGUUUACUGUUUUUACUGUUUAUCACUAGAGAUGCAAGUCUGGAUGACCUGGAUUCACCUUCAGCACUGGUUGUUCCACAAUCAGUUGUAACGAGGGAUUUUAUAGAAUUUCUAACACCUGUCACCACUAAAUCUUUCUUCAGAGACUGUUCCCCAGGGGCUCACUUUUGGAGGAGGUGAAGGUGCAUGCUGAAGAAGGAAGAGGAGGGGCAGUCCUGCGGAAUGACUGACACGACAGCACGUGAAGGGCACGGGCACAGGCACCGUGUUCCCCGGGAGGAAGUGUUACUCCAGGGAUGAUCAUGUUUAGGGAAAUUGGGUGUGCGUAUGACUUGGAGAGGUCUCAUCUAAGUCACAGAAGUCUCUCCAGUGUGUGACAGGCAGUGUGAGUUGCAGCUGGUGGCACUGCGAAUCAAACACCCAGAGCAGCACACAGAAGCAGCCUCCCGAGGGCAGUGCAUGCAGAAAUCCUUCACUCGGGGGCCAUCUCUUACUCAGCGUCAGAGCUCCCACAUGGAGAGAGCCUGCGUGUGUGCUCACCGUGCAACUUGUUUCCGUAAACAAUAGGUCUCACUCAGCAUCGGAGAAUUCAUCCGGGAGAGAAACCUGACAGGUGUCAUGAGUGUGGGAAGCCUCUCAAAGCAAAGCAGUCCUCAACCAGCAUCUGAGACUUCAUACUGGAGAAAAGCCCUAUAAAUGCAAGGCAUGUGGUGAGGCCUCUGUCAGAGCCCAUCCCUUACUAAACACCAGUGAACUCGUACUGGGGAGAAACCCUACAAAUGCACAAAAUGUGACAAAGCCUUCAGUCAAGGCAUAUGCCUCCCUCGCCAUCAGAGAAGUCACUCUGGAGAUAGACCUCAUGGGUGCAACGAGUGUGGGAAAGCUUAAAUCAGAGCGUCUGCCCCUCCCAGCACCAGAUAAUCCAUUCGGAGAGAAGCCCUACCUGUGCACUGAAUGAGGGAGAGCCUUCACUCAGAACUCGCCUUGUUGAACAUGAGUGAACUCACACUGGUGAGAAACUGUGACAGUGUAGUGAAUGUGGACAGACUUUUGCAAGCAGGCUUACCUUCGUGAGCAUUGCAGGAUUCACACUGCAGAGAAACCUUAUGAGUGUGCUGAUUGUGGCAAAGCCCCUAGGCACCGUUCAGCCCUGUGUGGCAGCAGAGGCUCCAUGCUGCCAGGGUAACUAGCAUGGGAAGGUCUGUAGGAGACUUACUCCCCGCUGCAGCCUCGGGGGUAAGACUCAGCCUGCAGCUGGGAUGCAGACAUUGUAUUUUAAACAAACAGCACUGUGCCCACAUGUUUAGAACCAGCUGGUCCAGUUUCAUGCCCUCUCUUCCUCUUACUGGGAGUGAGUGUGUCCUGUCUGCGCCUCAUUUCCCUCGAAGGAUAAUGAAGACACUUCUUGGGGUUAUGCUGAGAAUAAAUGGGUUGGAUUUGACACUUUA